rnacentral:lncRNA from 1 species
AUUUGUUGCGGAGUCAGAAUUUGCACGCGAGACAUUAUUUUCAAACUUUUCAUUCAGUGCAGAGCAGGCCUACAUUAGUAAGCGACAAGUAACUUGAUCACUUGCUGUAUGCUGAGAUGAAAUGCAGAACUGGCAGCCUCAUGAUGCUAUUGUGUGAGAAGAGUUUCAUUUAAGUCAACAAUUUGAAUGAUGUGUUUACUACCUAACUGAAGUAAAAUUAUUAAAAUGGUAGGAACUUUAGAUUUGUUUGUUACACUGGAUAAAAAGCAAACCUGGCCUCUCACACCCAACAUUGAUAUUGACUGGAGAAGUUGAUCUACUCAUCUUGUUUACUUUGGCAGCAGGCGGAUGUUGGUUUUAUCAAUGGUGACACUGUGGACAGUAAAUGCUGCUGUGACAGUGCCAACAGCAGAUGUUGCAGUGACUUUGUGAACAAUGGGUGGUUCAGUAACUCUGUGAACAGUGGAUGAUGCAAUGUCAGUGUGAACAGUGGAUGGUACAGUGUCAGUGUGAACAGCGGAUGAUGCGGUGUCGGUAUGAAUGAACAGCGCAUUAUGCAGUGUCAUUGUGAACAGUGGAUGAUGCACCGUCAGUGUGAACAGUGCAUGAUGCAGUGUCAGUGUGAACAGUGGAUGGUGCAGUAUCAGUGUGAACAGUGGAUGAUGCAGUAUCAGUGUGAACAGUGGAUGGUACAGUGACUGUGAACAGUGGAUCAUGCAGUGUCAUUGUGAACAGUGGAUGGUGCAGUGACUGUGAACAGUGGAUCGUGCAUUGUCAGUGUGAACAGUGAAUGUUACAGUGACUGUGAACAGUGGAAGAUGCAUUGUCAGUGUGAACAGUGGAUGAUGCAGUGUCAGUUUGAACAGUUGUACAUGAUGGUUCAGUGCCUGUAAACAGUGAAUGGUGCAGUGACUCUGUAAACACUGGAUUGGCAAUAUGAUUGUAAAAACAGUGGAUGGUAAUAUAUUUGUAAGAACAGUGGAUUUGCUCUACGAUUGUAAGAACAGUGGAUGGUGCAGUGGCAGUAUGAGCAGUAGAUACCGCAGUGACAGUGUGAACAGUUUCAGUGUUAACAGCAGACAGAGGUCGCGAAAGCCGUCGGACCGUCGGACAUUUCCAGUAAAUUUUGAUCCGGUCCAGCGUGAUAUAUCAAGUUCACAAGACCAAGUGUCCGAUAAAAAUUGCAGGUCAAUAUAAUAAAAUAAGAGGAAGGUCAUCCACGAUUUAGCGAAAGUUUGACUUUCAUCAUUAAAUUGUAAAAUGGAAUCCCAAGAAAAUGAUGUCAAACUAUAUUUUAGUAAGCGCUUGUUUCAUUGGUACUUAAAAUAGAGACAGUGGAAACUCCUCACGACGUCACGACAAUUCUAAGAACGCGCGUUAUCAUUGGAUGCGUACUAAUCAUGGAUGGUACUCGAUUUAUGUACGCGGGAACCAGACGGGGUCCAAAAAAUCCGAGGUCAUCUUUCUCUUUAUAUGUCAACAUCAACGUGACUCGGUACAACCAAUAGACUUGUGGGGUAAAAAAGAGCGAUGAUAUAGCAAAUGAAUAUGAAUAAAAUCUGUAAAAAAGGAUCCUUUGGAAGCAAAGAAUGCAACCAAGAAGAAUAACAGCAGACUCGUUUUGACUGAGUCUGUUCGCGAGAGGUAAUGAAAUGUGCAACAUCUCUCACGCCCCCUAGACUCUAGAUCUAUUACACACAUGUUGAAUGGACUUCAUGGUCCCAAAGGACCAGAAAAUAUAACAACACUGAAUCCAAGUACAGGGAGACUUUUAACAGCCUGAAAACUUGAUGGAUGUAAUUUGUGUAAUGCUGUCUAUAUAGACUAUGUAUAAAUACCAGUUUCAAAGAUCAGAUAUCAAAUUUAUUAAAAAGAAUUCGGUCUGGUAAAAUAUUAUCCAGUCCUGUAAAAAAAUCAUGUUUACCAGACCGACUGUCCUGUGAAUUUUCAGGGUCUUUCGUGAACACUGAGCAGAUGAUGCAAUAAUAGUAUGAUAAACAGUGGACAGUAUGAAUAGCAGAGCAUAGUGCAGUGGCUGUUUGAACAGUGUAAUGUGCAGUCACAGUAUGUGCAAUGCAUAGUGUAGUGACCAAUGAAAAGUGUAUAGUGCAGUGACAGUGUGAACAGUGUAUAGUGCAGUGACGGUAGAAUGAAAUAUUUGAAAUUGCAUCAACAGUAUAGUUAACAGUGUAUGGUGUAGUGACAGUAUGAAAAAGUGAAUAGUUCAGUGACAUGAUAUAUAUAAAGUGCAUUGACAGUUUAAGGAACAGUUGGCAGUGCAGUAGCGAUAUUAAAAUUGUGGAUAGUAUAGUGACUGCAUGAAGAGUGUGUAGUACAGUGACAUGAACAGUGGAUAGUACAGCAAUUUAUGGACAGUGGAUUAAAUGUUGCAUUUUCAUUACUUCAAUACGACAGCUGGAGGCAAGAACAGCCUUAUCAAGAAAUAGUAAAUUUAGUACCUUAAACAAGGAGUUCUUUAAAACAGUAACUUUUGUGUGAUAAUUGCACAGUAGGACAUUCUGUGUGUUUCAGUUAUAGUUCAAGAAUUUCGCAGUACAGGUUCCAACAGAUUGGUGAGUUAUACAGAUUUUCUAUACAGAAAUUGCAGUUAAGUCUGUAAUAGACAAGGCCAGUACUGCUGUGUGAUACAGGUUGCAUAACUUACACUUCUUGUUGCACUUUGGAAUAACUGCAGUUUUUGUAUAUUUAUGUCGAGGUACCUUUUCAGGGAUGGCGGAAUCUCAUUUUGACUUGCAUGUCCGUUUUUGUCAAUUGCUAAUUUUUACUU